UUUUAAUUAAACGGGAUCAGGGUUUAAUUAAAACGGGAUCCAACAUUCUCCCACUUGGACCAUAUUGACGCCAUUUGUCAAUGUGGGCCACAACUUGACGAGAUCCCAACAUUCUCCCACUUGGACCAUAUUGACAAGUGAAAUAUCCUUAGCACUUGAAUUUUAUAAUCUUUAUACGCGUGUUCUUUCUAUCCUGAUAUCAAUUUGGGCAAACUUUAUGUUUGAUUACUUUGAGAAUAAUAAUACGAACCAUGGCGGAAAUAACACCUAUU
rnacentral:lncRNA from 1 species